rnacentral:snRNA from 1 species
GUACUUGCUUCGGCAGCACAUAUGCUAAAACUGGAACAAUAAAGAGAAGAUUAGCACGGUCCCUGUGCAAAUUCAUGAAGCGUUCCAUAUUUUU